GACGUAGGGGGCCAGCGUUGUUCGGAAUUACUGGGCGUAAAGGGUUCGUAGGCGGUGCGGCAAGUUGGGAGUGAAAUCUCUGGGCUUAACCCAGAGGCUGCUUCCAAAACUGCUGUGCUUGAGUGUGGGAGAGGCGCGUGGAAUUGCAGGUGUAGCGGUGAAAUGCGUAGAUAUCUGCAGGAACACCCGUGGCGAAAGCGGCGCGCUGGACCACUACUGACGCUGAGGAACGAAAGCUAGGGGAGCAAACAGG
rnacentral:rRNA from 1 species